UAACUCUAUUAAAUAUUUACAAUGUGAUCAAUUUGUUAUUAAACAAAGAAAGAACAUGUAUAAGUUAAAUAUCUUACUAUCUUUUUAUUAUUUUGCAACUGUUGCUGUCUUUGCUAAUGCACCUGUAAUGAGUGGUAAUUUUUGUAUAAUUCAUGAACCAGUUUUAAAGACCUUUUCUUACAACUUGACAAGUCUUUCAAAUCCUACGAAAGAUGUUACAUUGAGUUUUGAAGACCUAAAUGAAACUAUUCGACUACAAUUAUGUAUGCCGUUAAAACAAAAGUGCAAUGGAAAGGAUGGAUACGCCAUUUGUUUGACAAGAAAUAAAGAAGAGAAAGGAAUAGGGAAGACACCACCAAAAAUAAAUGCAGAAAAUGGAACAAUAAAGUUUAUAUUUACAGGGGACAGUUGUACAUCUAAACUUAAUUAUAUUGUACAUAUAAUCAUGAAAUGUGAUUACCAAGCUGGAAGCGAUUCUUUUCCUGAGAUAUAUCCUCAUGAUGCAAAUCAGUGUGAUUUAUACAUGAUAUGGAAAACUGCUCUAGCUUGUGGUCCUAGAGUUACACAGAAUUGUGCAGUAACAAAUAAUGGAUUGCAUUAUGAUCUAUCUCAUUUAACAAAAUAUUCAGAAAAUUAUGUUAUUCAUACGGGUAAUAAUACAUCUCCAAAAAUUAUAUUAAAUGUUUGCCAUUCCGUGAUAUUUGAAUACAAUGCUCUGUGUCAAACACGUACGGGAGCUUGUUUACGAGAUCCUUCAAAAUCUAGAUAUGUGACUUUGGGUAAUGUACAGAGUCCAUUAUCUAUCCAGGAAGAUGGGCACUUACAGCUUGUGUACGAACAAGGAGAUUUGUGUACAAAGCAUAUUUUAGAACCACAUAUUAAAACCACCAUUACUUUCAUAUGUGAUUUUAAAGCUUUGGAUACAAUUCCAGAGUAUGUGGGAGGAAGUGAAGAAUGUCAUUAUCGAAUAAUAUGGAAAACUGCAGAAGCAUGUAGUAUAGAAUCUUUGCGUAAUCAUAGUGCAAUAACUGCUGGAAAAUGUACAGUCAAUAAUCCUCUUACAAAUUUUACGUAUGAUUUACAAUCUUUAAUGAAUCAUGACUUUUAUGCUAACGCUCAAGAUGGAACAAAGUAUACAUUUGGAGUGUGUACACCACCUUCAAAUUCAAGCUGUGUAUCUGGAACAGGUGCUUGUUUGACUGAAAAUAGUACAUCUAUGGGAAUAGCAAAUACAAAUCUCAUGUGGGAAGAAGGUGGACCAUAUUUAAAUUACACGAAUGGAGCUGAUUGCGGAAAUAAACAACGCCGUUAUACGGUUAUUGCAUUUUUGUGUGGAGCAGAAGGAUCGCCGAAUAAACCACUUGUUAUGGAACAAAAUUCGUGUCAGUUAAUUAUACAUUGGAACACUAAUUUAGUUUGCGAGAAAAGGAUGAAGUGUACUACAGCUGACAGUGAGAUAAACUUAAGUUCAUUGAUAAGUUCUACCAGUAAUUACGUUGUGAAAGUGAAUAAAACGGAAUUUCAUAUAAAUAUAUGCAGACCAUUGGUUCCUAAACCAGGUUUAACAUGUACACAUGGCAGUGCAGUUUGCAAAGCUUCAUUAAAUGCGAAUAAUGAUUACAUAAACGAAGUCAGUUUAGGAUUUCCAAAGGAAAGGCCUAUAAUAAAUAGCGAUCGUAAAACAAUGUUACGAUACAUAGGUGGAUCACCUUGCCCUGAAAAUCCAAAUAAAUUAAUUUCUUCGAACUUCACAUUUCCAUGUGAUUAUAAAGACAAGGGAUCUCCAGAAUUCAAGGAAUACAAAGACUGUACUUACGUUUUUGAGUGGAAAACUAGCAUUACAUGUGGUGCUGUAAUGGGUUAUUUGAUUUCUCCCUGUAUUAUAAAAGAUCAAUUACUUUUACAUGAAUGUAAUUUGUCUUUAUUACACAAAAAUCAACAAGUGUAUUAUGUAAAAAACAAACAAGGAAAAACAUAUAGCAUAAAUAUAUGUGGAGGUCAAAAGCUUUGUAAUAAUUCUGCAAUAUGUCAAGAAAACAAUGCCUAUGGAUCAUUUAAAAACGUAUUUUUCGAUUAUGGUAGAAAUGUCAUAAGAUUACAAUAUUCGGAUGGUAGUAAAUGUGGAAACAGUAAGUUCCUAUGCUUCUGAAGUUCGAUUCAUAUGCAAUGAAUCCAUAGGUAUUGGUGUUCCAAAAUUGCUAUGGGAAUCAACGUGUAGUGCGGAAUUUGAAUGGUACACUAACGUUACUUGCACUUGGCAGUCGAAUACUUCACAGCCAACUGCUGCUUCAGA
rnacentral:misc_RNA from 1 species